GCUGGGCGUGGUGGCGCACGCCUGUAGUCCCAGCUACUUGGGAGGCUGAGGCAGGAGAAUUGUUUGAACCCAGGAGGCAGAGGUUGCAGUGAGCCGAGAUCGCGCCAUUGCACUCCAGCCUGGGUAACAAGAGCGAAACUCUGUCUCAA
ensembl:misc_RNA Metazoa_SRP Metazoan signal recognition particle RNA